AUAUAUACUUAAAACUCAUCCUUUUAAUGGAUAAUUCAUGUAUGUUCUAGUAUGAUUUCUGUACUUGCAUGAAAAUAUUAUAUGUCGUAUAAACAAAAGGCCAAUAACAUGUCUUUAACCAUAUUGUUUGACGGGGAGCAGAUAUAGCUCAUUAGUGCAUCAAGUGAGUUGGUUGUUAGUGGCCCAUGUUGAGUCAUAGAGUCAGUGGUCCAUUUCGUUGCUGAGUCUAGGAUUGCUUGUCAUUUGAAAUUAUGUUGAAGGAGUUGCUUAGCAGCGGAAGUAGUUGUGAAGGGUUUUCACGUACUAAUGUAUAUUCUUUAACUGUUGUUGGAGUAUGUGGGUAAUCCCACAUCGGAUAAAUACAACUAACUAAAAGGGCAUAUGAUGUGAAGGGUGAACCAACCAAAAUGGCUUAGGCCAUUUUGUGUUAAAGGUAAGCCCAACUCAUUAUAAGCCCAAUAUUAAACAUAUAAUUGAAUUUGAUUUGAUUAAUUUGCUCCUAGGGCCUAGAUUCUCAACAACUAUAUUGAAUGGGAAGGCAUAAUUG